GACGAACGCUGGCGGCGUGCUUAACACGUGCAAGUCGAACGGAAAGGCCUCUUUCGGGGGGUACUCGAGUGGCGAACGGGUGAGUAACACGUGAGUAACCUGCCCUUGACUUUGGGAUAACUUCAGGAAACUGGGGCUAAUACCGGAUAGGAGCUCCUGCUGCAUGGUGGGGGUUGGAAAGUUUCGGCGGUUGGGGAUGGACUCGCGGCUUAUCGGCUUGUUGGUGGGGUAGUGGCUUACCAAGGCUUUGACGGGUAGCCGGCCUGAGAGGGUGACCGGCCACAUUGGGACUGAGAUACGGCCCAGACUCCUACGGGAGGCAGCAGUGGGGAAUAUUGCACAAUGGGUGGAAGCCUGAUGCAGCAACGCCGUGUGCGGGAUGACGGCCUUCGGGUUGUAAACCGCUUUCGCUCAUGACGAAGCUUUGUGUGACGGUAGUGGGUAAAGAAGCACCGGCUAACUACGUG
rnacentral:rRNA from 1 species